GAUCCUGGCUCAGGAUGAACGCUAGCUACAGGCUUAACACAUGCAAGUCGAGGGGCAGCGGGAUUGAAGCUUGCUUCAAUUGCCGGCGACCGGCGCACGGGUGAGUAACGCGUAUCCAACCUUCCGUACACUCAGGGAUAGCCUUUCGAAAGAAAGAUUAAUACCUGAUGGUAUCUUAAGCACACAUGUAAUUAAGAUUAAAGAUUUAUCGGUGUACGAUGGGGAUGCGUUCCAUUAGGUAGUAGGCGGGG
rnacentral:rRNA from 1 species